UGGUUUCAUAGGUUACUGUA
rnacentral:piRNA from 1 species